rnacentral:rRNA from 1 species
UACGGGGGGGGCAAGCGUUGUUCGGAAUUACUGGGCGUAAAGGGCCAGUAGGCGGCCAACUAAGUCGGAUGUGAAAGCCCGGAGCUCAACUCCGGAACUGCCUUUAAGACUGCAUCGCUAGAACGAUGGAGAGGUGAGUGGAAUUCCGAGUGUAGAGGUGAAAUUCGUAGAUAUUCGGAAGAACACCAGUGGCGAAGGCGACUCACUGGACAUCUGUUGACGCUGAGGUGCGAAAGCGUGGGGAGCAAACAGG